AUUGAACGCUGGCGGCAGGCCUAACACAUGCAAGUCGAACGAGUGGCGGACGCGUGAGUAAUGUCUGGGAAACUGCCCGAUGGAGGGGGAUAACAACUGGAAACGGUAGCUAAUAUCGCAUACCAUCUGAUGUGCCCAGAUGGGAUUGGCUAGUAGGUGGGGUAACGGCUCACCUAGGCGACGAUCCCUAGCGGGUCUGAGAGGAUGAGCAGCCACACUGGAACUGAGACACGGUCCAGACUCCUACGGGAGGCAGCAGUGGGGAAUAUUGCACAAUGGGCGCAAUCCUGAUGCAGCCAUGCCGCGUGUAUGAAGAAGGCCUUCGGGUUGUAAAGUACUUUCAGCGAGGAGGCGUUACUCGCAGAAGAAGCACCGGCUAACUCCGUGCCAGCAGCCGCGGUAAUUC
rnacentral:rRNA from 1 species